rnacentral:rRNA from 1 species
GAUGAACGCUGGCGGCGUGCCUAACACAUGCAAGUCGAACGGAGUCGUUUUGGAAAUCUCUUCUGCGAUGGAGUUCUCGACUUAAUGGCGGCCGGGUGAGUAACGCGUUAGCAAUCUGCCUUUAUGAGGGAGAUAACAGUCGUACACGGCUGCUAAUACCGCAUAAAGCAUUGGAUUCGAAUGUUUUUGAUGCCAAAGGAGCAGUCCGCUUUUAGCUGAGCUCGCGUCUGAUUAGCUAGUAGGCGGGGUAACGGCACACCAAGGCCACGAGGAGUAGCCGGAGUGAGAGGUAGAACGGCCACAUGGGGUGUGAGACACGGCCCAGACUCCUACGAGAGGCAGGAGGGGAGAAUAGCGCGCAAGGGGGGAAACUCUUACGGAGAAACGGCGCGUGAGAGAAGAAGGUCUUGGGGGUGUAAAGAUUUUGAAUGAGGGACGACACAAAUGACGGUACCUGAAGAAGAAGCUCCGGCUAACUACGUG